rnacentral:lncRNA from 1 species
AUUAAUUUCCACACGGUGUGAGGUGACAGUAGAGGGCCAGCAGAUCUUGAUGUAAAAUACCAUUCUUACUAAUAUCAAUUAGUAAGCUUGCAUAUGUUCGGUUCGAAGAUCAAAAAUAGUUUCAUGUCACAGGGAUACAUCUAGUCCCAACUAAAAACACAUAUAGUUAUAGUUUUAAUGACAGAAGUUCGCACGUGCAACACACAUUAUAAGCUUAGCUCCGUCCCCUUCUAAAUAUACGUGAACAAAGUAAGCUACUAAUCUUCUUUUUAAAUUAGACCAAUGCCCUCUUGAUCAAUUGAAAUUUCAUAAAAUUUAUUACAAUGAAUAACUACUGAGGGAACAUAGGACUUCUUACAUAUCUUUUCUAAAUAUAAAAUGUAUAUCUUCAUCAAAGUCUUCUAUGUUAUAAUUCAGCUUCAUGUGCAUGCAGUUCCUAAUGUUAGCAGUAAUCAGAGCACUCCUGCACAACAACCGCGACGACAAUCUUCCUUCUCUUUAUCAUCGCUCACCAUCUGUGUCCUGUCAUUGAUGGCACCUUAGCCACACUACACCGGCUCUGGCACCAUAAAGGCGAUGGUAGAGAUCCCGUGGGAAGGUACCUUCGCCACACUACACCGGCUCUGGCACCAUUAAGGCGAUGGUACAUUCCGUGGGACUGUCGCGCAUGGUACCAGGCCAAGAUGCUCCCGCCAACCAUGAAAGCGGCCACCUGCUGCAAACAUUUGAAGAGUCAUUAUGUGAUUACUAUUACAUCUACAUCUGAUGAAUGAGAAUAACAAGUAGGAUGGUGAAUGAGAAGUCAACAUCCAACAUGAAUAGCUAGACAACAUGUAGAUAACAGGCUAAACUUCCUUUCCUGCUAAAUCUUUGAUAUUACCCCAGUAAUGCGAACCAACUGCUUCAAGCUUCUCAGAUGGACCCUUAUAUCCCUUAGUUCUUCUACCGAAACAAACUACUUGCCCCGGGAUAACCACCAUAUGUCCGUAAGACAACAACUUGCACCUUCCACUUGGCAUGGUUCAUAGUUGAUUGUGCCUCUUCAGCUCUCACGGGAUACAACCAGACAAUGUCAUGUAUAAUGCUCCAAUAAUCAGACAAUCAAGAUGCAUGAACUAAUAUGUAGACUCAAUCUUCUUAGUGAAGAUAUCUUAACAUGUGUUGACAUUUACAAAAAUGCCUGUCAUGAUUUCAUAGAUGACAAAGGCAGACAAUUACGAUGCCAACAUUGCCAGCACAUUAUAUUAGUGAACUCACACGUACAUGUACAUUCCGUAGUUUACCGGAUUUUAUUAUUGACAGAACAGGCAGAAGAUUUUAAAAGGUAAAUAGACAAAUAAGAAUCCAAGUAAUAUCAACAUUGGGAUGCUCUGGUUUAUAUAUCAUUGCUCUGAUUUCUUAAGCCUUUGGUUUUUUGUGCAAUAUAUUUUCCAUGUAAUAGCAAGCUGAAGGAUGAUAAGCUCAAAGAGGUUACCAGGACCAAAGAUGAUUAUCUAAAAGAAACCUUGAAGCAAAAAGCUGAUGUCGAUAAAACAGUAUAAGGCCUAAAAUAAAAACAUGUCUUCAUAGUAAAAGUCUUAGUCGUCCUAGAACAGUUCGAAAAGUCUUAGUGGCUUUAUCUAAAAAAAAAGAUGCUUAGUGGCUCUGCAUGCUAUGACAACCAUCAAUUGAAGUACAUAUCUCGCUGGACUUGAACUCUUGCGACUAAGAUAUCAAUUGAAACCCAGAUUCACCGAGAAGUAGGAAAUAUGGCUGCAAUAUAUCAAUGGCUCGAAUAAUGUGCAAUAUAUCAAUGGGCUUGAAUAAUGUGCAACAUAUCAAUAUGACAAUAUUAGCUAUCCACUACACAACCAAAUUUAACCGAAAAUCUAUAAGAUGAGUUCUAAUAAUAGCAAUCCAACAACUACUAAUCCAAACUCACUUGUGCAAACUUGCGGCCAUGCGGCAUCAGUAAAUGCGUAAGGAUGACCAUGUGCCCCAUAAUUGGAAAUCUGAAAUAAUAGACACCGAGUGUUAAUGGAGAAUAGCAAAAUAUGAAAAAACAGAUAAGAAGGUGAAAAUUCAACCUAACAUAUAUUAUCUCCCUCAGAAGCCAAUAGUAUGCACUGGAUGUGUCCAAGAUGCUGCUUUGACCUUGCUGAAUUUUUCAUGUGUUACCGUCAUAGGACACGAAAAAUGUGCAGCUAUAUACACCCAAGAAAUUGUCUCCAAGGUUCAGGCUACAAAAAAAAACAUAAAAAUCUGACGUAUUCGGAAAACCGUAGAGAACAAAAAGCGCUCAAACAACUUUGGCUCUAAGUCUGGUAGGCGACCAAGCACUGCAGCACCUCGUGACAUGCCUUCUCAAAUCUUGCAUUGAAGUAAUUUUACUUGCUGGCACAACUUUUUCUGUUCCAAAAUUCUUCGGGUUUGGUCAACCACCUUAUCAGAUUAUAUGAUUAUGAUAUAUCAAGCAAGAUUUAAGUCAUGUAACAUCACAACAUCCCAAAUUAGCAGGCAUGUCUUUAAGCUUCUGUAUGAGCUUGCAAAGAAAUUUUGUUGGCCCAUCUAGAUUGUCUGUGCAGAAGCAUUGAUCUCAGAUUGCUGGUUGUAUAUCUAAAAAAUUCAAACUAUAAUCCCAGGUUAAAUCUUGCAAACUACCCAGAAAGUUUAUAUCUCAAUAAAAAAUGCUUACACAUCAAUUUCUCACUUUUUUCUGAACCUCGUGUCAACAGAUUGCUAUAGUCAGUAGAGUGUAAUCAUAUUCAUAGCACGUCGUAUGAAAAUGGUAGAUAUCCUACUGCCUAUCUCUGGAAAAUUGAACAAUACCUAAACUGCAAUUAACUGUAAGCAGCCAUGCUUAACUUGGCUCAAACAGAAGCUUGAGAAGUUCCUUUUCUUGGUGGUUAACGUCUUAGAAGUUAGAAUGAACUGAAAGAAGUGCAUUAUUGGUUGAGUAGGAAGUUCUUGGUCUUGGAACCAUGGCAGUUGCCGGUUGCUAUCAUUUAAAAGAAGAGCCUUCAUUUUUAGCAGAGUUUCUGGAGUAUUUCACGCUUAAGUAAGAAAUAGUAGUCUUCUGGGUUGAACAUUAAAUAAUUAAGCAUGACAUGUCAUUGACUUAAAUAUUACACACGAAACUGGCCAGGGAUGAGUUAUACUCAAAUAAACUUGCAAAGUGUAAAUUACCUGUACGCAGGUUAGCCUCGAGCAAAUCUUUGUACAAAUCAAAUCAGAUCACAUAAAUUAUUCUUCUGAAUCGAACUGCAGUGUGUAGACGGCAGGGCGGUGGCGGCGUCGGGGCAAGGCAAUUCGUGCGCCUAGGCGGCCGCAUCCGAUGGAGAUGGAUGGAAGACGAAUCGGAGUGCUGGAAUGUCGCUGGCCCGGCUGGGCACGUGGAGACGUGGGGAGGCCACCAGUGUGGCGCCUGGGAUGCAGCGCGUGGGAAGAGACGGCGUGGGAGCGCGUGGGAGGCACGGCGGGGGAUUGGAUAAGGCCUGUGUGCUCUCUUUCUCCGUCGAGGACGACAGCGACGGCACCCAGGCCGGCUGCUCGCCUCGGUUCAAGGUUCUCGACCUUCUAUUGUAUGGGAGAAAGGUGGGGAUUGAUUUUUGGCCGCGAGGCAGAGGAAUUAGAUGCCGAUGGCACCAGGAGAGGAUGAACAGCGAGGGGAAGCGAGGGCCUCGACAGCGGUGGACUGCCCUCUGCCUCUCGAUGUGCCCCUCCUCCCCGGAGGCGGCGGUGGGGACCUUGGGGGGCGUGUAACCGUAGAGCGCCGGCCAGAGGCGGGCCAGGCGGCGGCCAUGAAACCUUGUGGGAGGUGCGGGCGGGGCUGGUGGGGGUGGGUGGUUUGAGACUUGGAGAGGAACGGGAGAUCGUGGGUGGGCGUGACGUUGGG